GUAGGUGGCAAGCGUUGUCCGGAAUUAUUGGGCGUAAAGCGCGCGCAGGCGGGGUUUUAAGUCUGAUGUGAAAGCCCACGGGCUCAACCGUGGAGGGUCAUUGGAAACUGGAGAACUUGAGUACAGAAGAGGAAAGCGGAAUUCCACGUGUAGCGGUGAAAUGCGUAGAGAUGUGGAGGAACACCAGUGGCGAAGGCGGCUUUCUGGUCUGUAACUGACGCUGAGGCGCGAAAGCGUGGGGAGCAAACAGGAUUAGAUACCCUGGUAGUCCACGCCGUAAACGAUGAGUGCUAAGUGUUAGGGGGUUUCCGCCCCUUAGUGCUGCAGCUAACGCAUUAAGCACUCCGCCUGGGGAGUACGGCCGCAAGGCUG
rnacentral:rRNA from 1 species